GACGUAGGGGGCAAGCGUUGUUCGGAAUUAUUGGGCGUAAAGAGCUUGUAGGCGGUUUGUCGCGUCUGCUGUGAAAAUCCGGGGCUCAACCCCGGACUUGCAGUGGGUACGGGCAGACUAGAGUGUGGUAGGGGAGACUGGAAUUCCUGGUGUAGCGGUGAAAUGCGCAGAUAUCAGGAGGAACACCGAUGGCGAAGGCAGGUCUCUGGGCCACUACUGACGCUGAGAAGCGAAAGCAUGGGGAGCGAACAGG
rnacentral:rRNA from 1 species